rnacentral:rRNA from 1 species
GAUGAACGCUGGCGGCGUGCCUAAUACAUGCAAGUCGAGCGAACAGACGAGGAGCUUGCUCCUCUGACGUUAGCGGCGGACGGGUGAGUAAUACGUGGAUAACCUACCUAUAAGACUGGGAUAACUUCGGGAAACCGGAGCUAAUACCGGAUAAUAUAUUGAACCGCAUGGUUCAAUAGUGAAAGACGGUUUUGCUGUCACUUAUAGAUGGAUCCGCGCCGCAUUAGCUAGUUGGUAAGGUAACGGCUUACCAAGGCAACGAUGCUUAGCCGACCUGAGAGGGUGAUCGGCCACACUGGAACUGAGACACGGUCCAGACUCCUACGGGAGGCAGCAGUAGGGAAUCUUCCGCAAUGGGCGAAAGCCUGACGGAGCAACGCCGCGUGAGUGAUGAAGGUCUUCGGAUCGUAAAACUCUGUUAUUAGGGAAGAACAAAUGUGUAAGUAACUAUGCACGUCUUGACGGUACCUAAUCAGAAAGCCACGGCUAACUACGUG